CCCCAGGUGUGUGUCGUUCCUCUCUAUGUGUCCAUGUGUUCUCAUUGUUUAGCUUCCAUAUACAAAUGAUCACCUGCGGUAGUUGGUUUUCUGUUCCUGUGUUGGUUUGCUAAGUAUAAUGGCCUCCAGCUUCAUCCAUGUUUCUGCAAAUCACAUGAUCUUAUUUUUUAUGGCUGCAUAGUAUUCUAUAAUGUAUACGUACCACAUUUUCUUUAUCCAGUCUACCACUGAUGAUCAUUUAGGUUGAUUUCAUGUCUUUGCUAUUGUGAAUAGUGCUACAAUGAACAUACACAUGCAUGUGUCUUUAUACUAGUACGAUUUAUUUUCCUUUGGGUAUAUACCCAGUAAUAGGAUUGCUGGGUUGAAUGGUAUUACUGUUUUUAUGUCUUUGAGGAAUCACACUGUCUUCCACAAUGAGUGAACUAAUUUACACUCCCACCAACAGUAUAUAAGCAUUUUUUUUCCACAGCCUCGCCAACAUCUGUUAUUUUGUUGACUUUACAAUAAUAGAUGAUAUAAUAGAUAUCUCAUUGUGGUUUCAAUUUGCAUUUCUCUAAUGAUCAAUGAUGUUGAGCUUUUUUUCAUAUAAUUGUUGGCUGCAUGUAUGCUUUCUUUUGAAAAAUGUCUGUUUAUGUCCUUUGCCCACUUUUUUUUAACAGGUUUGUUUUUUCUUGUAAAUUUUUUAAGUUUCUUAUAAAUACUGGAUAUUAGACCCUUGUCAGAUGCAUAGUUUGCAAAAAUUUUCUCCCGUUCUGUAGGUUGUCUAUUCACUCUGUUGAUAGUUUCCCUUGCUGUGCAGAAGCGGUUUAAUUAGAUCCCAUUUGUCGAUUUUUGUUUUGUUGCAAUUGCUUUUGGUGUCGUAUGAAAUUUUUGCCUGUUCCUAUGUCCAGAAUGCCUAGGUUGUCUUUCAGGGUUUUAUAGUUAUAGGUUUUAUAUCUAAGUCUUUAAUCCAUCUUGAGUUGAUUUUGUAUAUGGUGUAAGGAAAGGGUUCAGUUUUAAUCUGCAUAUGGCUAGCCAUUUAUCAUAGCAACAUUUGUUGAAUAGGUGAUCCUUCCCAUAUUGCUUGUUUUUGUCAGGUUUGUCAAAGAUUAGAUGGUUUUAGGUGUGUGGCCUUACUUCUGAGUUCUCUAUUCUGUUCCACAGGUCUAUGUGUCUCUUUUUAUACCAGUAACCUGCUGUUUUGAUUAAUAUGCCCUGUAGAAUAAUAUGAAGUUUGGUAGCAUGAUGCCUCCAGCUUUGUUCUUUCUGCUUAGGAUUGUCUUUGCUGUUUGGGCUGUUUUUUGAAAUACAAAGAAAACCACACUUAAGCACACUAUAGUCAAUCUACUGUAAACAAAGAUUAAGAGAAUAUAUAAUGACAUGCAAAAGAACAAUGCUACAAAUACAUAAACUGCUGACUCCUGUUCAGAAAAAUGGAGGACAUAAGGAAGCGGAACAAGUUUUAAAUGCUGAAGUGUGAGGGAGGGUGGGGACAAUGACAAUCUAGACCAGCAAAAGCAUUCUUUAAAAAUGAAUAUGAAAUUUUAAAAAAAUUCAAAAAAUAUAGAGCAUAAAGAAUUUACUGAUAUCAGACCUUCACUGGAAAAAUACUAGAAAAUACUCUGCUUUGAAGGAAUAAAAUGAACAGAAAAUGAUAAAUAUUUUAAGGUAAUAAUCAUACUUUAAAGCGUUUUUAAACUCAGUUAGAUCUUAAUGGCUGAUAAUGCACUCAAUUGCUAUUUGUUUAGUUCUUAACAUUGAACUUAUGACCAGGCAUCUGUGUAUCUAUCUGAAAUGUAAGCUUAUGUAAAAUAAGGAACUAUUUUUAAUUUACCUGUAUGUUUCUCAGUAUGUUACAUAGUUUCUGCUCUAUGGCAUAUAAUGCCUGUUAGAAUUUUGACAUGUUUCAGUCUUUAUGAAGGGUUUAACACAAAUUGUGUUUCCAUCAUAAUAAUCACGUGAAGUUCACAUUUUUUCCUGUAUAAAUGAAAACUUAGACAGUGACAAGCGCAAGGUUACUCCAUAUAGAAGUGCGUAAACGUUUGAGUCUGAGUUUCCACUCUAUCUCUGAUGAUACACAUCCUGAUGGUAUUCCUUUUCCUUAUUUUUCCAAUAUGUUAUAAAGUAUCCCCAUGUUAUGUAUUUUGAAGCUCUAAUUUCAUAUACACUGAUUUUCAAAAGAUGCUUUUUCACAUUUUUCAAUUUUCAAUGAAAUCACUCGAUUACGAGGUCCUACAAUAGGCUGUCUACAAGCUUCAGGAGAAAGGAGAGCCAGUCCGAGUCUCAAAAUUAAAGAAGUUGGAGUCUGAUGUUUGAGAGCAGGAUUAAUCCAGCACAGGAGAAAGAUGUAGGCUGGGAGUCUAGGCCAAUCUCGCCUUUUCACUUUUUUCUGCCUGCUUUAUUAUUUUAUUGUAUUAUAUUUUUUGAGACAGAGUUUCACUUGUUGCCCAGGCUAGAGUGCAAUGGCGUGAUCUUCGCUCACUGCAACCUCUGCCUUCCAGGUUCAAAUGAUUCUGCUGCCUCCACCUCCCAAGUAGCUGGGAUUAUAGGCAUGUGCCACCACAUCUGUCUAAUUUUGUAUUUUUAGUAGAGAUGGGGUUACACCAUGUUGGCCAGGCUGAUCCUGAACUCCUGACCUCAGGUGAUGCACCCACCUCGGCCUCCCAAAGUGCUGGAAUUACAGGCAUGAGCCACCACGCCUGGCCUCUGCCUGCUUUAUAUUCUCUGGCAGCUGAUUAGAUUGUGCCC
rnacentral:lncRNA from 10 species